rnacentral:rRNA from 1 species
AUUGAACGCUGGCGGAAUGCUUUACACAUGCAAGUCGAACGGCAGCACGGACUUCGGUCUGGUGGCGAGUGGCGAACGGGUGAGUAAUGUAUCGGAACGUGCCCAGUCGUGGGGGAUAACGUAGUGAAAAUUACGCUAAUACCGCAUACGAUCUAUGGAUGAAAGCGGGGGAUCGCAAGACCUCGCGCGAUUGGAGCGGCCGAUAUCAGAUUAGGGAGUUGGUGGGGUAAAGGCCCACCAAGCCAACGAUCUGUAGCUGGUCUGAGAGGGCGACCAGCCACACUGGAACUGAGACACGGUCCAGACUCCUACGGGAGGCAGCAGUGGGGAAUUUUGGACAAUGGGCGAAAGCCUGAUCCAGCCAUUCCGCGUGCAGGAUGAAGGCCCUCGGGUUGUAAACUGCUUUUGUACAGAACGAAAAGGUUUCUACUAAUACUAGGAGCUCAUGACGGUACUGUAAGAAUAAGCACCGGCUAACUACGUGCCAGCAGCCGCGGUAA